rnacentral:rRNA from 1 species
AUUGAACGCUGGCGGCAGGCCUAACACAUGCAAGUCGAGCGGAUGACGGGAGCUUGCUCCUGGAUUCAGCGGCGGACGGGUGAGUAAUGCCUAGGAAUCUGCCUGGUGGUGGGGGACGACGUUUCGAAAGGAACGCUAAUACCGCAUACGUCCUACGGGAGAAAGCAGGGGACCUUCGGGCCUUGCGCUAUCAGAUGAGCCUAGGUCGGAUUAGCUAGUUGGUGAGGUAAUGGCUCACCAAGGCGACGAUCCGUAACUGGUCUGAGAGGAUGAUCAGUCACACUGGAACUGAGACGCGGUCCAGACUCCUACGGGAGGCAGCAGUGGGGAAUAUUGGACAAUGGGCGAAAGCCUGAUCCAGCCAUGCCGCGUGUGUGAAGAAGGUCUUCGGAUUGUAAAGCACUUUAAGUUGGGAGGAAGGGCAGUAAGCGAAUACCUUGCUGUUUUGACGUUACCGACAGAAUAAGCACCGGCUAACUCUGUGCCAGCAGCCGCCGUAACAC